rnacentral:rRNA from 1 species
UACGUAGGGUGCAAGCGUUGUCCGGAAUUAUUGGGCGUAAAGAGCUCGUAGGCGGUCUGUCGCGUCGGGAGUGAAAACCCAGGGCUCAACCCUGGGCCUGCUUUCGAUACGGGCAGACUAGAGUUCGGUAGGGGAGACUGGAAUUCCUGGUGUAGCGGUGAAAUGCGCAGAUAUCAGGAGGAACACCGGUGGCGAAGGCGGGUCUCUGGGCCGAAACUGACGCUGAGGAGCGAAAGCGUGGGGAGCGAACAGG